CUGCAGCCCAAGCCUGCUGCCACUUAGGUGGUCCCAAAUUUCUUCUUGCUUCCAGUUCCUCAGCUCCUUUUGGAAGUUUUGGAAGGACUCUGUGACAGCUUUUAGCUCUGAGCAGCUGAUUCAUUAAUUAGCAUUAGCUUGAAAGGCCAUGCUUUUUCCCUGGAGAAUUCCUGAGGGCACACCAGAUACUUGGUCCCUUUUCCCAAGCUGGGCACAGACAUGGAAUUCUCCUUGACUUCACCAUGAGAGAGCUUCAAAAAUUAAAUCCCAAAGUGAGAUAGCCCAAACCCAGCUUUAUUCUAGGGGAAGCCAGAGCAGCAGCAGGGCUCAGACACUUGGAUGCUGCUGCUGAGGGAUCCAUGAGCUCAUAGAUACCUUAAAGC